ensembl:lncRNA
UAAACACAAGAGGGUUUUUAGAUUGAGUUGGCUAUAGCCCUCUGAAUAUGUUUACUGUACAUUUAAAUAUCCAAAGUACUUCAAUGUUACUUUUUUCUGGAAUGAGCAUAUCUUUCUUACUUAGUCACAAAGUAGAAAGAGUUCCAAACUGAUAGAGAAGUUUUGGUUUCUAGCUCUGCUUCUGCCACUAAUUAUUUGUCACACCAUAAAUAUUUCAUAUUGUAUUGAAACUUUAACUGUAAAAUACUGAGGUAGUCUGUUAAACACUUUACAGUUUCAAAGUCCUUUGAUGUUGUGACUUUGCUCUUUAGCGAUUCUAAUGUCACUUACGUUGAAAAAACUACCUGAUGGAAUUGGGUUAGAAGUAUUAUCUUUUGAUUUCAACUCUGCAUACAUGAAAAUCCUUUUUAUUUAAUACAAAAGGAAAUUAAUUUAAUGCAGUUAAUAUUACCUAAAUUAUUGAACUUAAACUUUCCUACUUUAAGUGCCUUUAAAAGUGUUUUUAUUUGAAAUACAAAAUGUAAAGGAAAUUUUAUGUAGUUCUAUAGUUUCUUUUUUAUAAUAUACUUUUGAGUUAUUUGCAGCAUCUUUCUUUUAACCUUAGAUUGCACAGAGCAGUAUAUUCAUGGAUUCUUCACUAUUCUCAUAGUGAGUCCUUGAGAAAUGUAUGUUAUAGUUUAGCUCAGUGAGCAGGUAAGUAAGUGCUUUCUGUCUUGGGUGGGCAACAAAUCUUUAUGGCAACAGAGUAGGAAUAAAGGAUCAUUCAGAUUCCAAUAGAGAAAGUAGGUGUCCUGAGUUAGUUAAUGGUUAUUGUUGGAAAUCUCAAAUUUUUCUUUGGUAGCACACAGUUCAUUAUCCUAGAUUAAAGUUAGUCUUUUAGGGCCAGCUGUGCAGUGCUGUGCUAAGUCACUUCAGUUGUGUCCACGUCUUUGCGACCCUGUGGACCGUAGCUGGCCAGGCUCCUCUGUCCGUGGGGUUUUUGAGGCAAGAGUACUGGAGUGGGUUGCACAUUUCCUUCUCCAGGGGAUCUUGCUGAGUCAGGGAUUGAAGCCGGCUCUCCUGUGCUGCAGAUAGUCUUCUGUGUUGCAGGCAGAUUCUUUACCGACCGCGCCCCCCAGGGAAGCCCUAUCCUAAAUUAAAGGUUGGUAAAUGUUUUUGUGUGAAGGGCCACACAAUAAAUGUUUUGGGGUUUUCAGGCCAUAUAGUUUUUCCCAGCUGUUCACUUUUGCCAAUGUAACACAAACACAGCCAUAGACAACAUGGAAAUAAUUGGCUGUGUCUGUGCCUCGCUGACACAUUAUUUUCACAGAAAAGAUAGCUGAAUUUGGUCCACUGGUCACAGUUUGCUGUCCUAGAUGGUUUUAGUAAUUUUAAACUGUAACAGGUGGUUGUGAGUUUCUGUCAUCCCAACCCUCUCAAUUUUCUAUAUAUGGCCUGGUUGCUGAGUUUGAGUGUUGUUUAGGACUCACAUAAGUGAGAAGUAGGUAAGGGAAACAGAAACUCUUAAGAACUAGUGUUAAAGCAUUUUGAAGUCCUUUUAUUUGCUAGAGCUGAUUAGGAACUUUGCUUUGCUGCCAUAAUUAACCAAAAGAUUGAAGAAUAGAGAUUGUAAUUGGUUGUUGAAAAUUAUAUAAAUUAUUCUAAGCACUUGGCUACCUAGGUGGUAGUUUUUUACCAAAUAAGAUAAGCCUUUUACAGAUAAACCUUUUUACCUUCAUAUUCUAGGACACUUGGAGACCAGAUUUAAGAGAAAUUAUGAAAUGUGAGACUUUAUUUUGCCAUGUAAGGAAAGGGUUUUGGAAAAAUAACUACCAUCUUCCAUCACUAUCACUUUAGGACCCCCUCCUCCCUCCAUAUUUAGGAAAAACAUAAACUUAGAAUAAGAGAGAGUUCAACUUAAGUUGAAUGACUUUAAAUUGAUGGAAAAAUUACUCCACUAUUCUUUUCUCAUUUACUCUGGAUCACUGAAAACUUCAUCAAGGGGAAGUAUCAGUCUAGAGACUUAUCAGUUGAAAAGUGUUGUGAUACAGUUGCUGAAAGGUCUAAUGUAAUUAUAAAAUUAUUAUUGACUAGAGGGUGUAAUAAACCACAUGCACUCUGAUACUAAGACUAAAACUUUUAUAUUACUGUGUUAAAUUGUAAGUGCCACAUAUCAAGAGGGACAUGAACUGUAGUGUUCAUAGGAAGGCACACAGCAUGUAGAAAGGCUUGAGUGGAAUGCAGAGGUAUUGGUGAUAUUUAUUUUGGAGUAAAUAAAGAGAGGUGGUUUUCUUCAGACAUUUGAGUGACUGCCAUAUAUAAGAAGGAAUAGAAUUGUUCUGUCUUAUUCUAGGUGGACAAAUGAAUUAUAAGAAAUGAAAGUUCUGGUUCCACAUUUAAGGUUCCGUAUGAGAAUUUCUAAAUGAAAAUCGGCCCUUUCCUCAUAAAAUCAUUUGAAGUAUUCAAACAAAAGCCAAAUCAGUGGUUUUCAAAGUAGAAUCCCUAUACUAUCAGCAUCACUGGGGCAUAUUACCUGUAUAGACCUGAAAUUAUGGAUCACCGAGCUGAAAAACAGCCUAAUAAGGAAACCAAAGAGCAAGCAAGUACCAUGAAGAACCUGUUGAAGGCCAUGUAUAUCAGUUUUGGUCUUAAGCCUGCCAAUGUAAACUUUGGAAAAUAUUUUAAUUUUUUCACCACAGUAUUCUCUGAAUUACUGAAUGUGAUAUUAUAUGCACUUAAGUAAAAAGUAUUAAAGCAAGAUGAAAACUAAGAAAAUUAGAGUGAUAUAUGAAUGAUGUCAUAUACAUGACAAGGCUGAGUUUUGUAAGUUUUAAAAUUAAAUACUAGAUUUAAUAAAAUAUUCUUACCUUAACAAUUUUUUAAAUAGCAGUUUUUUCUGAGAAGUUUUUUUUCCCAUUUAAGAUUUAUCCAUUUGAAUCUAGCACCUAAGAGGCUUCAGUUGAUAUUUGUUUAGUUCUGAUGAAUUGGAUUUUUAAAGCAAAGAGAACAAAAACUUCAUGCUCUAUAUGAAGUGUUUUUUAAAGGACUGGAAAUCAUAAGCCUUUUAACUGGAAACAAUUUUAACUGGCUUUUUCCAUUUUCAGGUUUUGAUGUGGGAACCAGUGUUCUUAUUAAUUUUAAAAGAUGAUAAAAUUUUAUAUUCCUGAAUUCUGUGUAAUGCCAGGUGAAAUGAAUGGUAAUAUAAGUGAUAAAUUUGAAACCACUGGCCUACGAUUCUUGGCUCAUGUUUUACAAUAUCCUAUGGUGUUUACUGUUAUUUAUGUGUUAUCUACCUGUUUGCCCAAUGACGUGUCCAGCCAGCUCUCAAUUGAAAGAUGCUAUGGGGUGCUAGAAGCUUUGAACUGGAAUCCAUUUUCAGCUUUGCCAGUCAGUUGCUACUGAUUUGCUGGAACAUAUCACAGGUCUUUCCUAGAGCAGAGGUUAUCUCUUUAAUGUGUGCUGGAAGUGAAUAGUAUGACUCCUAAGGGCCUUUCCACCUUUGACUUUUUAUGACAAUAAUAAAGAAAUACCCUAUUAUUUAACAUAUUAUACUUUUAAUUUUAAAAAUAUGUUCACGGGUUUUUCUUUUAAUCUCAACUUUAAGAAGGCCACACAUUGCUGCAUUUUUACUGAGGGAAUCCUAAGCCCAUAUAAAUAGCAUGACAUAUAAAUUUGUUUGGUUAGUUAGUAUCAAGAGCUAGUCUAAGAAUUCAGUUCUUCUAAUUUUUAGUUCUCUGUGUUACAAAUGUUAUACUAUAUAACAUUAUUCUGUGUUUUGUUUUUGGUGCUCACUCUGAGAUAUCACAUUGAAUUCAAACAGUAAUGUGCAUGUGUGGCUUCAGUAAAAAUGGGAACCAUUUAUGUAAAGGUCUAUUUUGAUUAAUUCUGGCAAAAAUAGAUUUCUUUUGGUGGAUUAAAAUAUUCCUAAUAACUGCAGACUUUUUUUUCCUGGGAGGUUUACUUUUAGACUUCAAAAUUCUGAUCCAUUGCUUUCAUCAUUAAAAAUGCACUACUUCUUUGUUAGGAGAUCAUAACAGAAAAUGAAAUUUAUUUGUAUGUAAGUCUUUCUGAUGGUGAGACUGCACAGCAGACACUUGACUCCCACCAUUCCAGUUCAUGCAUUAAAGUGUCCUGCAAGUACCUGCGGCUCUGUUUGGGAUUUUCUCAUCCACAUGCAGGCAGAUCGGAUGCGAAUCGGAGAAUAAUUUUUCCAGCUUCCUUACCCUUCUGGUAAUACUUUGAGACAUGUUUCUUAGAGUUUGCAGUGGGGCUAGACCUCACUGUCCUCUGCAGCAGAAAGACUGGACUGUUUAAUAAAGAAGACUUUAUUUUCUUCCUCCUCUUCUCUGUCUCACUUCCGAUUCAUUUAUCAGUGUUUUCUGACAUUACCUCCCAAAUGAAAUUGUUGUUUUUUGAAUCCUGUCUCAGUUUCUGGGGUCAUCUAAAAAACAUGUUUGAUUUGAAAAAUAAGUCAUUACCAGUGUUUGUUAGAUAAGAAAGAUUUUUUAAAAGGCAGUUAUUUUGAAUAAAAUUAAAAACAAGUAUUUAAUAUUCUGACUUUGUUAGUCUCAUAAUCAUGUCCAUGUUCAAAAUUGUUUCCUUAGCUUCAUUUCAUAACAAAGAUUCAAGGUAAAAAGCUCUUUAAGUAGAAAUUCAAGGUAAAUGUCUUAUGUGGAAAUCUUUCUACUAGAUCUGUUUAUUCUUUUCUUCUAAAAAAAAUUAUAGCCUGAUUUUCCAGAUGCUUUAUAAGGACGCAGUGAAUUAUCUAUUUUGGUAGAAAUUGGGUUAACAUGGAAUUUGGUUCAGCCAAAAUUACAAAUUAUUGUCUACUUGAAUCCAACUUUCUCAUCUCUUAUUUGGACCUGGUUAUUCUCCAGCAGGGACCAGGGUUAGCCUUGCUGAACAUUGAUUGUAAGGAUAAAUUUAGUCCCUGGCUAAUUUCCCCAAAGGUUGUUCUUUGGUCCUUGUUAAGUAAAAAACUUUUUGAUUUAUUAAGGAUUAAGGAAUAGGGCAUUUUUAAAUUGAAGAAGCCCUACAUUAAGUGCAGUGUAUUGUAAGUACAUCUUUGUAAUUCUUUGAUACCUUUUUAAAAAUUAGAAAUAAUGUUUAUAUGAUUUUUGAAAAUUGAUUUGGAAGAUUUGUAUUCAUUUUAGGCACAUAUUAUCAACCUUUUUUUGUCCCCAUGUAAAAGUUAUGUUUGUGUGUCUGAAAUGUAUUAUCUAUUUGAUUUAUGUGAUGGAACAUGCACGAAUUUAACCAAGUUUAUAGUUGUGUUUAUAGGGCCAUCCUAAGAUUAUCAUGCACAGAUAUUUUUCCAUAGGAAAAACAAAAUAUUUAAAGAAUAUAUUUUAGUUAUCCUUACUGUAAAGUAGCAUCUCUAAACAUUUGUAUUUUUUAAGCAAAAAUAUUAGUGUAUACAGAGUAUUUUCCUUCAAUAUAGUUGCUUGUGGUACCUUCACAUUCUGCCAUGUUCUUUUUAAUAUAGGACAGGGCAUUUAUUGACCUGUGAGGUUGCAUUUUUCUGUUAGAAAUGAUCAGAGGACAGUUGGGUGAUUAAAUUGGAUAGUACAGUUUAGGGGAAAAAUAUGUUCAAGGGAAAAUAAGUCUGACUUUCUCCUGGAAUACAUCAAACUGGUCUAAAGUGGAAAUUCCUCCAAAUCCCUGCAGUGGCUUACUAGAAUAGCUUGUGUAUGUGUGCUAAGUUGCUAAGUGUCUGACUCUUUGCAACCCUGUGGACCAUAGCCUGCUAGGCUCCUCUGUCCAUGGUAUUCUCCAGGCAAGAAUACAAGUAACUAUUCAUUUAUAAGUUCAGUUGUUUUUAAAAAAAUCAGUCUUAUUCAUAAGUAUAAGCUCAAUUGUGUAAAAAAAUCAGUCUUGUUACUUUUUAGUCAUGUUAUAUCCCAACAACUACCUAGUUUAUCAAAUCCAGUCUAGGCUUUUGACAUUUGAAACAUCUUAGUAUGAUAGGUUCAAAAGCUGGAAUAAGAACCAGAGGUGGUUUUAAAAUGUAUCAAGAAGGAAUUCUCAUUUCCUAAAGACCAAAUAUUUUCUAUAAGGAAUGUUAGAUAAAAAAUGUGGAAUAUCAUUUUACUGUCUUUACUGGAAGCUGAUUCCUUGUGCUAAAUGUGAACAGUCUUACGAUAACUUAAUGUAAAACAAGCUUGAAAAAUUUCUCUCUUCAGAGUUUACAUAUUUUCCAUCUUAUAGGCCACUUAUACAGUACCUCUGUACUGAGUAUUUAAGUACAACCUGACUUUGUUAAGGUUUAAAAAUUGCUCCCUGCUUACAUUAAUGUUCAGUUCAGUUCAGUUGCUCAGUCGUGUCCAGCUCUUUGUUGACCCCAUGAAUUGCAACACGCCAGGCCUCCCUGUCCAUCACCAACUCCCAGAGUUUACCCAAACUCAUGUCCAUCGAGUUGGUGAUACCAUCCAGCCAUCUCAUCCUCUGUCGUCCCCUUCUCCUCCUGCCCCCAAUCCCUUCUAGCAUCAGAGUCUUUUCCAGUGAGUCAACUCUUCACAUGAAGUGGCCAAAGCAUUAAUGUUAAGUACUUGUAUUUAGCAAUGUUAUAUUUCUGGAUGUUAGUUAAUGUGAUGAACAGCAUUAGUCUGUUCUUCAAAGUUCUACUUGGUACAGUGUCCGAGAAAAUUAACUUGGAUAAAACAAUGAUGCAUGUUUUACAGUUAAAAUAUUUCAAAAUUUCUGUAUAAGGAGUAGAUCUCCAUAAUUGCCACAGAUAAUUUAGUGAUUAUGGUUCUGGUAGUUAUUGUGUUAGGAAAAUAUUGUACCUCACAGUGCUUGAUUUGUAUUUUUUUUACUGUUUUAAAAACCUUCACAUUUAUUAUCUCUUAACAGAAGUAAUUUUUAGCUAAAUGUUUACAUUAUUGAAUGAGGAAAGUCAAACCGUGGUUAGGACUAAAACAGGCUGAAAUUUAGAUUUGGUGUUCUGCAUGGAGUUUUGUUAUUGAAUAUCUAAAGGAUGGCAGUUUCCACUCAGGUAUUUAUGCAUUAGAAUUAAUAUUGGAUUCCAAAUCACUUGAUUAUAAUUUGCAUUUCAAGUGUAAUAUACAGAUUCUACUUUAUUAGUAAGUGUCG